GCCCGCCACCACACCUGGCUAACUUUUUGUAUUUUUAGUGGAGAGGGAGUUUCACCGUUUUAGACAGGAUGGUCUCGAUCUCCUGACCUCCUGAUCCACCCGCCUCUGCCUGCCAAAGUGCUGGGAUUACAGACGUGAGCCACCGCGCCCGGCUGUUUUCUUUUUUUUAACAGGAAAACACAAGCGUGAAGCCUCCAUUUGGGAAGCCUGCAGAAGCCCCAAUCCAAUCACAGCACUGCCAGAGGAUCUUAGAAGUUGAAUAUCAAUUUAAUAACACAUCCUGUUUGAGAUUGGGUUCUAACUAUAUUGCCCAAGCUAGAUUCAAACUCUUGGGCUCAAGUGAUCCUCCUGCCUAAGACUCCUUAGUAGCUUGGAACUUCAGAACCAUCUGUCAAUGGCUACUUCAUACUUUAGAUGCUCCAAGAGGAAAAAGUCAUUUCAGAAUUGUAUCCAUAACCCAGUUUCAUUGAAGAUGGAGUCUUCCUUCAGAUUUUCUACAUAGACAAUUAUACCUCUGUGAACAAAGACAGUUUAUUUCUUCCUUCCCACACCCUGCCACACUUCCUCCUGCUCCAGCAAUGUAAAACGUGCCUGCUUCCCCUUCACCUUCCACGUGACUGCAAGUUACCUGAUGCCUCUUUCGCCAGCUUUCUGUACAGCCUGCAGAACCAUGAGGAAUCACACCCCUUUUCUUUACAAAUUACCCAGUCUCAGACAUUUCUUUAUAGCAAUGCAAGAAUGGACUAAUACAGUAUCUGUGUAAAAUGGAGAUGUUUCCUAAGAAAGAAUAAACUCCUUUUGGUAUAAGUUAUGUGACUACAAGCAUACUUGGAUAUCUUAAUAUUUAAUCUGGGCCAGACAUACCUUGAUGUGGCAAGAAAGUAGCUGGAGAACUGUGUUGGUAGUCCUGGGGCUCUUCCUGCUUCUAUUGUUACCCAA
rnacentral:lncRNA from 1 species